AGGAAACCUUUACAAAAUUGCUUAACGCUGUGUUCUCGAGUUUAUAAUGACCAUUUGUGUAAUUUAGUGUACGUUAGCGUUAUACUUGAACUUAAGCUUGUAGGCGCGUCGAGGCUUGAGUAUGGUUCGUAUGCUAAAUCAUAGUAAAACAUGUAAAUAGCAUAAGUUACAUGUUUUUGGGAUUCCCAGGCCUCAAUAGUGAACCAACGGGUUGAGGCUGGUGAUUAAACGGGUCAGAAUGAUUAAACGCAGCUGACAUUUGAGUUCAUUAUUCUGAGGAAAUCGGAUAAGAUUAUCUAUGAGAUCCGCCGCGAAGCGCGGGGUGUAUUACUAGUUAUUAUCAAUGAGGAAACGGAAAAAAUUAGGGCUUGUAAUUACUGCUUUAAGCAAUGGCGGCAAGGCAGAUUAGUUGCCUCUGCGGUUGCGGAUCAUGGCGUUCAGGAUUCCAAUCAGGAUCUUAGUACGUCACCACCAGCUGCUAAGUCUUGUCAGCACUAAAUCUAGUUGUACUGCUUACAGUAGCAGCAUUACGUUUGCUUCUGUCCCGCAAUCGAUCUGUUUGUAUAAUCAGGCUACGGUAAUGGAAGUGAAUUUGGAUGAAUAGAACGAACUUGCAUCGAGGAGCAAUGAAUUACUGUUCGAUGUAGCCGCUCAAUCUCCAACCCACUAUGGAUGUUAUGUGAUGCUGGUGUUCAUGACAAACGUCGUGCUGGUGUUCAUACAACUACAUCAAUUGCAUUGUGCCACUGAAGAAAUCGGAGGGUACCAAAUUGACCAGCUCGGAGGGUAGUACCAAAUUGACCAGCUUUAGCUUGUGUUAUUCAGCUCAACUCUAUGGUCUGCUAUGUAUCUUGAUAUUAUUUGGAGCUAUGUUAAUUUUGUUGUGUUUGCAGAUUGUUUGAUUUGUACAUGUAUUACCCAAUAAAACUUAAUUCGCUAUAUUUGUCCCUUACAAAUAUUAAUUCAUUACAUUUUGGCGUGUUUGACCCGUUUCAGUUUAAAAUGCUAUAUUAUUACCUGUUUAA